AUUGAACGCUGGCGGCAGGCCUAACACAUGCAAGUCGAGCGAGCGGCGGGCGGGUGAGUAAUAUAUAGGGACUGCCCGUUGGGGGGGGAUAACUACUGGAGACGGUAGCUCAUACCGCAUACUAUCGAAUAACCCAUAUGGGAUUAGAUGGUAGGGGAGGUAAUGGCUCACCUAGGCGACGAUCCCUAGCUGGUCUGAGAGGAUGAUCAGCCACACUGGAACUGAGACACGGUCCAGACUCCUACGGAGGCAGCAGUGGGGAAUAUUGGACAAUGGGCGAAAGCCUGAUGCAGCCAUGCCGCGUGUAUGAAGAAGGCCUUAGGGUUGUAAAGUACUUUCAGUCGGGAGGCGUUACCGACAGAAGAAGCACCGGCUAACUCCGUGCCAGCCGCCGCGGUAAUUC
rnacentral:rRNA from 1 species